rnacentral:rRNA from 1 species
UACGGAGGGUGCAAGCGUUGUUCGGAAUUAUUGGGCGUAAAGCGCGCGCAGGCGGUCUGAAAAGUCUAUGGGUGAAAUGCCGGGGCUCAACCCCGCGCAUGCCCAGGAUACUGUCAGACUGGAGACACGUAGAGGCAAGCGGAAUUCCGGGUGUAGCGGUGGAAUGCGUAGAGAUCCGGAAGAACACCGGAGGCGAAGGCGGCUUGCUGGGCGUGAUCGUGACGCUGAGGCGCGAA